rnacentral:rRNA from 1 species
AACGAACGCUGGCGGCAUGCCUAACACAUGCAAGUCGAACGAGACCUUCGGGUCUAGUGGCGCACGGGUGCGUAACGCGUGGGAACCUGCCCUUAGGUUAGGAAUAACUCCCCGAAAGGGGUGCUAAUACCGGAUAAUGUCUUCGGACCAAAGAUUUAUCGCCUUUGGAUGGGCCCGCGUUGGAUUAGCUAGUUGGUAGGGUAAAAGCCUACCAAGGCGACGAUCCAUAGCUGGUCUGAGAGGAUGAUCAGCCACACUGGGACUGAGACACGGCCCAGACUCCUACGGGAGGCAGCAGUGGGUAAUAUUGUACAAUGGGCGAAAGCCUGAUCCAGCAAUGCCGCGUGAGUGAUGAAGGCCUUAGGGUUGUAAAGCUCUUUUACCCGGGAUGAUAAUGACAGUACCGGGAGAAUAAGCUCCGGCUAACUCCGUG